AGUCGAACGGCAGCACAGUAAGAGCUUGCUCUUAUGGGUGGCGAGUGGCGGACGGGUGAGGAAUACAUCGGAAUCUACUCUUUCGUGGGGGAUAACGUAGGGAAACUUACGCUAAUACCGCAUACGACCUACGGGUGAAAGCGGAGGACCUUCGGGCUUCGCGCGGUUGAAUGAGCCGAUGUCGGAUUAGCUAGUUGGCGGGGUAAAGGCCCACCAAGGCGACGAUCCGUAGCUGGUCUGAGAGGAUGAUCAGCCACACUGGAACUGAGACACGGUCCAGACUCCUACGGGAGGCAGCAGUGGGGAAUAUUGGACAAUGGGCGCAAGCCUGAUCCAGCCAUGCCGCGUGGGUGAAGAAGGCCUUCGGGUUGUAAAGCCCUUUUGUUGGGAAAGAAAAGCAGUCGGUUAAUACCCGAUUGUUCUGACGGUACCCAAAGAAUAAGCACCGGCUAACUUCGUGCCAGCAGCCGCGGUAAUACGAAGGGUGCAAGCGUUACUCGGAAUUACUGGGCGUAAAGCGUGCGUAGGUGGUGGUUUAAGUCUGUUGUGAAAGCCCUGGGCUCAACCUGGGAAUUGCAGUGGAUACUGGAUCACUAGAGUGUGGUAGAGGGUAGCGGAAUUCCCGGUGUAGCAGUGAAAUGCGUAGAGAUCGGGAGGAACAUCCGUGGCGAAGGCGGCUACCUGGACCAACACUGACACUGAGGCACGAAAGCGUGGGGAGCAAACAGGAUUAGAUACCCUGGUAGUCCACGCCCUAAACGAUGCGAACUGGAUGUUGGGUGCAAUUUGGCACGCAGUAUCGAAGCUAACGCGUUAAGUUCGCCGCCUGGGGAGUACGGUCGCAAGACUGAAACUCAAAGGAAUUGACGGGGGCCCGCACAAGCGGUGGAGUAUGUGGUUUAAUUCGAUGCAACGCGAAGAACCUUACCUGGUCUUGACAUCCACGGAACUUUCCAGAGAUGGAUUGGUGCCUUCGGGAACCGUGAGACAGGUGCUGC
rnacentral:rRNA from 1 species